rnacentral:rRNA from 1 species
UGGGGAAUUUUGGACAAUGGGGGAAACCCUGAUCCAGCCAUCCCGCGUGUGCGAUGAAGGCCUUCGGGUUGUAAAGCACUUUUGGCAGGAAAGAAACGUCGUGGGUUAAUACCCCGCGAAACUGACGGUACCUGCAGAAUAAGCACCGGCUAACUACGUGCCAGCAGCCGCGGUAAUACGUAGGGUGCAAGCGUUAAUCGGAAUUACUGGGCGUAAAGCGUGCGCAGGCGGUUCGGAAAGAAAGAUGUGAAAUCCCAGAGCUUAACUUUGGAACUGCAUUUUUAACUACCGAGCUAGAGUGUGUCAGAGGGAGGUGGAAUUCCGCGUGUAGCAGUGAAAUGCGUAGAUAUGCGGAGGAACACCGAUGGCGAAGGCAGCCUCCUGGGAUAACACUGACGCUCAUGCACGAAAGCGUGGGGAGCAAACAG